rnacentral:misc_RNA from 1 species
AAUAAUUUUUCUCUGGGGGGUUGAGUGUCCGUGAUAUGUAACAACAAGGAUGUCCGUCUUGUGAUAAGAUUGCGCCUAUUCCUUCAUUGGAAGCGUCUGUGGUAUACAAAGCAGUAUUUGUUCAAUAAUCCUCGUAACGCGGUAUCCAUCAUGCGUUGGAAGGUGGCUGGGGCGUUUUUUAAACCGAAUGGCAUGCGAUUAUAGUGAAAGUGUCCCUGAGGUGUGCUAAAGGCUGUAUAUUUCUUUGAGUCGGGGUCCAUAGGUAUUUGAUGGAAUCCUGAAGAUAAAUCUAGAGCAGAGAAGAAUUUGGCGUUGCCUAAUUGUGAUAGAAUGUCGUCGAUUGUCGGUAGUGGGUAGGCGUCUU